rnacentral:tRNA from 6 species
GGAGAGGUGCCAGAGUGGCCGAAUGGACUCGCCUCGAAAGCGGGCGUCCUCGCAAGGGGACCGUGGGUUCAAAUCCCACCCUCUCCGCCA